rnacentral:SRP_RNA from 1 species
GCCGGGUGUGGUGGCGCGCGCCUGUAAUCCAAGUGACCGGGAGGCUGAGGCUGGUGGAGCGUUUGAGCUCAGGAGCUCUGAGCUGCAGUGGACUGUGCCGAUCGGGUGUCUGCACUAAGUUCGGUAUCGAUAUGGUGAUCCUGGGGCAGCCCGGGACCAGCAGGUCGUCUAAAGAGGGGUGCACCGGUCCAGGUCGGAGACGGAGCAGGUCAAAGCCCCCGUGCCGCUCAGUAGUGGGAUCGCGCCUGUGAAUAGACGCUGCAGUGCAGCCUGAGUAAUACAGCGGGACCCAGUCUCUU